rnacentral:snRNA from 2 species
UUUGAUUAUCAAUAAAUUGAAAACGAAAUAUUAAGUGUAGUAUUUGUUCUUAUCAGUAUAAUAUCUGAUAUUAACUCUAUUUUUGAGGGGAGAGGUUCACCGAGGUAGCUUGCUAUCGCGAUUCGAAACAUUCAAGCAUCCUAUGGUGUUGUUGCACUACUGUCUUGGCUUGGCGCACCUCAA